rnacentral:rRNA from 1 species
AUACGGAGGGUGCAAGCGUUAUCCGGAAUCAUUGGGUUUAAAGGGUCCGUAGGCGGGCAAUUAAGUCAGAGGUGAAAUCCCACAGCUCAACUGUGGAACUGCCUUUGAUACUGGUUGUCUUGAGUUAUAGUGAGGUAGAUAGAAUGUGUAGUGUAGCGGUGAAAUGCAUAGAUAUUACACAGAAUACCGAUUGCGAAGGCAGUCUACUAACUGUUGACUGACGCUAAUGGACGAAAGCGUGGGGAGCGAACAGGAUUAGAAACCCUUGUAGUCC